GAGAGAGAGAGAGAGAGGAAAAAUAUAAAAACUCUUGGUACAAUUUAAAUAGCAACUAACUUCAACACCCAAAUGGUGAUUCAGGUUCUACUCUCCAUGACAAAAAUUAUAUAAAAUCCAUUCAAGAACCGAGAUCUAAACCAAACUCAAACCAAAACCUGAACUGAAGCCAUACCAAAAAUUCGACUAUGUUUGGUUAGGUUCUGGUUCUUAGCAAGGGCAGGACUCGAACACCCCUAAUUUUCAUUAGCAUUUCCAUUACCCUAUGUUUGAGAAUAUGGGAAAGUUGGGGAAGGAAACUGGUGGGGAGUGAAGUUGAGGGCAAAUGAAUCUUUUGACCAGUUUGGGAGAAGCAGGGUGAGGGGAGUGAAAAAGGGGUGAAAAUUUUCACCCGGGCCCACCAGAUUUUAAUUGCCCCAAAAUGGUAGAAAAGGAGCAGAAAGUAGUUUUUGUUGCAUUUGUAAUUACAAACCCCCAAACUUUUUUUAAUUUACAAUUUCAUUAGCAUAAAAUUGUAAUUCAACUUACAAAAUUUAAUUUAUCUUCUUCCACCUUUUUACAUGCUCCAAACAUAAGAGAAGAAGAAGAAACAUGAAGUCUUCUCCCUCAGUUUCUCUACUCUCAAUUUAUCUCCCCUCAAUUUUUUCCCCAAACAAAGGGUUAGGGACCAAGUAUUUGUUAAAUAAAUCCUUUUAAGCCAAAUACUUGACAAAUAUAACCUUGGUCAAAGACUCAAAGUAUAGGAUAUGAAAGAAUACAUCAAUUCCACAAAUCUUAUGGCCAAAGAUAGUAAGAAACUGAUCAAAAUACCUCUGAUUACUCCAAAAAAAAAGGAAAAAAAAACUUGUCUUUGUAUUGCAAAAUUUUACAAUUGUUCAACAUUUUGUAGAUCACAAGGAUAAACCCAAAUUAAAAUGCUUUCACCUUAGCAUUAUGAAUAUUAAGAUCCAAGAAGAAAAAGCACUGACCUGCUAGCUUGUCGUUCCUCUAAU
rnacentral:misc_RNA from 1 species